GGCCUGGUGGCGCAUGGCCGCGCGGCUGCUGAAUUUGGAAAAUCUGAACACAAUGUUUGGACGCAGAAGGCCCCCGUUCGAUUCGGGGCUGGGUCG